rnacentral:rRNA from 1 species
UACGGGGGGGGCAAGCGUUGUUCGGAAUUACUGGGCGUAAAGGGCUCGUAGGCGGCCAACUAAGUCAGACGUGAAAUCCCUCGGCUUAGCCGGGGAACUGCGUCUGAUACUGGAUGGCUGGAGUUUGGGAGAGGGAUGCGGAAUUCCAGGUGUAGCGGUGAAAUGCGUAGAUAUCUGGAGGAACACCGGUGGCGAAGGCGGCAUCCUGGACCAACACUGACGCUGAGGAGCGAAAGCCAGGGGAGCAAACGGG